rnacentral:lncRNA from 1 species
CAAGGGUUUUUCAACAGUUCUCUUCGUUGUUGCCGCCAUCAUCACGUGCAAGUCUUAAUCAAUAUGUAUCCCUAUUUCUUCAGUAAGUAGAUCUGAACUAUGUUUAUCUCAAUCUUAAUUUUCUAUGAUGUUUGAUACUGUGAUUUCUAAGCUUCAAUUUUGAAUCUGGUAGUUCUGUCCAGAAUUUGCGAUCAGACAAUUGUUUCCCACGUUCUUGAUGCUUGUAGAUUUCUCCACACAUUUAGUUAUUAGUAACUUAUUUAACAUCAGUGAUAAUUUAGUCUAGUUAAAUAGAUGAAAUAAGGUAUAAAGAGGUGCUUUUGGUAAGGUACUUUAAUCUACUUUUCAAUAUCCGCUAAUUUUUGUCAAAUAGAGUCAUACUCUCGUGGAAAUUUGUCUUUGAAAUAGCUGAAAUCCCUAAUUUUAUCUUUAUACCAUUCUGAUUGUUGGAAACUCUCCACUGUAUGUACAUGUUUUGGAAAUAGAGAUUGGGAACAUGUAGGAAAGCAUUCUAAAUCUGAAUUACCACUUUUGAUGUUUAUGUAAGUUUAUAAUAUAUUUUUGUUGGAUUGCAUACUCUUUAUUUGAUAGUUCUUGAAAGAAGUUGUGCUUGUUGCUAACUAUAAGUUGUUGGAUGGUUUCUCAGUUCCCUUGUGAUUUAAGACUUUUUACCAAUUCACAUGUACUGAUUGCUUGUGGAAUUUUUGGUUGUGCUUUUUCUCUUUUAAUUUGGUAGUUUAGAAGCAGUGAUAAUUCUUAUGGACGAUUGUACUUUUUAGCAAUGUUGUGAUCAGAAUUUUGUAUUCUAUGCAGGUUAUAUAUUUUAUGGAUAUGGUUAUACUUGAAGAACCAAUAGAGAGGUAUCAUUAGUUGAAGCUUGUUUGGAAUCUUCAUUUUUAGCUCUCUUCAUUGACCAACUGAUUGAAAUGAUAUACUAUUCUCAAGUUCUAUCAAUAGACAGACAUUGAUUAUUAUCAUAACUUUCAGGAUAUAUUACAAACUCAAUGGCACUAAGGAUUGGUUGCUUUAAUCAAAGGAAUUUUCUAUUUGUCAGGCGAGAAGUUAAAGUUUGAUAUAAUAUGGUUGGUUUCUUGAACCCUUAAGUUAACAUGUGGAAAAUUUAAAUUGAACGUGAUGUAUUUAACUAUGUAGGCAAUAUAGAACUAUUGUAAAGAGAUAAAUGAGGGGAAGAAAUGCUUCUGAGCUAGACAAAAAAGUACAUAGAGAAUUCGUUCUUUGGUUCACCAAUCGUGUGAGUGUUUCUACAUGUUCUUUUCAGAUCAAGUGACUAAUUUCUAUAGCAAUGCGACUAACUAUUGUCAUUUUCUUAUUCAGAUUGGAAACAAUCUUGAUAGUCAUAGCGGACCAGAUGAAGAUGUUCUUAAUAGUCUUGCACAAGGUCCUUGGUCAAGCUAAAAG